rnacentral:lncRNA from 1 species
UAAUCUAUGUAAACAUCAAGUCAUUGAAUACGAGAGGGAAAAGCUCUUGAAAACCCUAAUAUCUUACUAAAUUCAUAAAUAACAUUUGGACUUGAGAGAUGAACUCUUAGCAAGUAUAUCUUAAUUAUGGGAGCUAGAAAUGAUUUGAUUAUGAACUAAAGAGAUCCUUCCAGUAACAACAUUAUAACGAAACUAGAGAAACAUGGAAAUGGGUAAGGGUGUCUUCAAACCACCUGG